rnacentral:rRNA from 1 species
CACGUAGGGGACGAGCGUUGUCCGGAUUCAUUGGGCGUAAAGCGCGCGUAGGCGGCUCGGCAAGUCGGUCGUGAAAUGCCGGGGCUCGACCCCGGGACUGCGUCCGAUACUUCCGGGCUGGAGGUAGGUAGGGGAGAUCGGAAUUCCUGGUGUAGCGGUGAAAUGCGCAGAUAUCAGGAGGAACACCGGUGGCGAAGGCGGAUCUCUGGGCCUUACCUGACGCUGAGGCGCGAAAGCUAGGGGAGCGAACAGG